UGGGGAAUAUUGCACAAUGGGCGCAAGCCUGAUGCAGCGACGCCGCGUGGGGGAUGACGGCCUUCGGGUUGUAAACUCCUUUCGCCAGGGACGAAGCGUUUUGUGACGGUACCUGGAGAAGAAGCACCGGCUAACUACGUGCCAGCAGCCGCGGUAAUACGUAGGGUGCAAGCGUUGUCCGGAAUUACUGGGCGUAAAGAGCUCGUAGGUGGUUUGUCACGUCGUCUGUGAAAUUCCACAGCUUAACUGUGGGCGUGCAGGCGAUACCGGCUGACUUGAGUACUGUAGGGGUAACUGGAAUUCCUGGUGUAGCGGUGAAAUGCGCAGAUAUCAGGAGGAACACCGAUGGCGAAGGCAGGUUACUGGGCAGUUACUGACGCUGAGGAGCGAAAGCAUGGGUAGCAAACAGGAUUAGAUACCCUGGUAGUCCAUGCCGUAAACGGUGGGCGCUAGGUGUAGGGACCUUUUGGGGUUUCUGUGCCGUAGCUAACGCAUUAAGCGCCCCGCCUGGGGAGUACGGCCGCAAGGCUA
rnacentral:rRNA from 1 species